rnacentral:rRNA from 1 species
GCUCAUGGCCAUAACACCCUGAGCUCAUCUGAUCUUGAAAACUAAGCAGGGCCAGUACUUGGAUGGGAGACUGUCUGGGAAUACCAGGUGCUGUAAGCU